rnacentral:rRNA from 1 species
CUCAGGAUGAACGCUAGCGGCAGGCCUAAUACAUGCAAGUCGAGGGGCAGCAUGAGUACUUGUACUUGAUGGCGACCGGCGCACGGGUGCGUAACGCGUAUGCAACCUACCCUUUACUGGAGGAUAGCCCGGGGAAACUCGGAUUAAUACUCCAUAGUAUUACCAGAUGGCAUCUGAAGGUAAUUAAAGAUUUAUUGGUAAAGGAUGGGCAUGCGUAUCAUUAGUUAGUUGGUGAGGUAAUGGCUCACCAAGACUUCGAUGAUUAGGGGGCCUGAGAGGGUGAUCCCCCACACUGGUACUGAGAUACGGACCAGACUCCUACGGGAGGCAGCAGUAGGGAAUAUUGGUCAAUGGAGGAGACUCUGAACCAGCCAUGCCGCGUGCAGGAAGAAGGCCUUCUGGGUUGUAAACUGCUUUUGACAGGGAAGAAAACGGCUAUGCGUAGCUAACUGACGGUACCUGUAGAAUAAGCACCGGCUAACUCCGUGCCAGCAGCCGCGGUAAUACGGAGGGUGCAAGCGUUGUCCGGAUUUAUUGGGUUUAAAGGGUACGUAGGUGGCCUUAUAAGUCAGUGGUGAAAUGCUGCAGCUUAACUGUAGCACUGCCAUUGAUACUGUAGGGCUUGAGUGUCGUUGAGGCAGGCGGAAUUUAUGGUGUAGCGGUGAAAUGCAUAGAUACCAUAAAGAACACCGAUAGCGAAGGCAGCUUGCUAAGCGACAACUGACACUAAUGUACGAAAGCGUGGGUAGCGAACAGGAUUAGAUACCCUGGUAGUCCACACCGUAAACGAUGCUCACUUGAUGUAU